rnacentral:rRNA from 1 species
UACGUAGGGUGCAAGCGUUGUCCGGAAUUAUUGGGCGUAAAGAGCUCGUAGGCGGUUUGUCGCGUCUGCUGUGAAAACGCGAGGCUCAACCUCGCGCCUGCAGUGGGUACGGGCAGACUAGAGUGCGGUAGGGGAGAUUGGAAUUCCUGGUGUAGCGGUGAAAUGCGCAGAUAUCAGGAGGAACACCGAUGGCGAAGGCAGAUCUCUGGGCCGUAACUGACGCUGAGGAGCGAAAGCAUGGGGAGCGAACAGG